rnacentral:snRNA from 1 species
GCGCUUGCUUCGGCAGCACAUAUACUAAAAUUGGAACGAUACAGACAAGAUUAGCAUGGCCCCUGUGCAAGGAU